rnacentral:lncRNA from 1 species
GCUCAGAAAGAAGAGCUUCAGAGCCUGUUGCACCAGCCCAAAGGGCUGGAAGAGGAGAAUGCCCGGCUCCGGGAAGCCCUGCAGCAGGGCAAGACCUCCCACCAGGCCCUAGAGUCAGAACUGCAGCAGCUAAGGGCCCGACUCCAAGGGCUUGAGGCUAACUGUGUCCGGGGUGUGGAUGGGGUGUGUCUCAACUGGGGUGGAAGUCCACAGGGUGGCAAGGCCACUACAGAACAAGGCCACAAGGGGCAGGAACCAGACACCAGCUUAUUGGAGCAGCAUAAGCAGCUUGAGGCCGAGGCCAAGGCCCUAAGGCAGGAGCUGCAGAAACAGUGGCAGCUGUUGGGCUCUGUGCACCGCAACCUGCAGAGGGGCUUGCAGGAUGCCGGCCAAGGAGCCCCAGCUCACGCUGGCCUGGCUGAACUUGGUCACAUGCUGGCUCAGACACUGCAGGGCCUAGAGAGUCAGGGUAUUAACACUGGCAGAUCUUCCAAUGACUCCGAGGCCUGGCACCAGAAGAAGCCUCGCUUCCAGCAUCCCAGGGAGUGGAGUGGGAGGGAGAAGUGGCGUGGGGGGCAGAGGGAUCAGAAGGC